rnacentral:sRNA from 1 species
GAGUGCCCGGCGGCGGGUCCUCAGCUCCUAGCCGAGGUGCAGUGAGCUGGUGGGGGGACCGCGAGGCGAGCGCGGGAGCCUGGGCGGCGAGCCGGGUGUUAGUUGCCUGAAAAUGCACUCGGAUGCCGCCGCUGUCAAUUUUCAGCUGAACUCUCAUCUCUCAACACUGGCAAAUAUUCAUAAGAUCUACCACACCCUUAAUAAGCUGAACCUAACAGAAGACAUUGGCCAAGACGAUCACCAAACAGGAAGUCUGCGGUCUUGCAGUUCUUCAGACUGCUUUAAUAAAGUGAUGCCACCAAGGAAAAAGAGAAGACCUGCCUCUGGAGAUGAUUUAUCUGCCAAGAAAAGUAGACAUGAUAGCAUGUAUAGAAAAUAUGAUUCAACUAGAAUAAAGACUGAAGAAGAAGCCUUUUCAAGUAAAAGGUGCUUGGAAUGGUUCUAUGAAUAUGCAGGAGCUGAUGAUGUUGUAGGCCCUGAAGGCAUGGAGAAAUUUUGUGAAGACAUUGGUGUUGAACCAGAAAACACGGAGUCUCUCACUGUCGCCAGGCUGGAGUGCAAUGGUAUGAUGUCGGCUCACUGCAAGCUCCGCCU